UACAGAGACUGCAAGCGUUAUUCGGAUUCACUGGGCGUAAAGGGUGCGCAGGCGGCCAAGUGUGUGAGGCGUGAAAGCCUGGGGCUUAACCCCAGAAUUGCACCUCAAACUACAUGGCUAGAGCAUUGGAGAGGGUAGCAGAAUUCAUGGUGUAGCAGUGAAAUGCGUAGAUAUCAUGAGGAAUACCAGAGGCGAAGGCGGCUACCUGGACCAACACUGACACUGAGGAGCGAAAGCCAGGGGAGCAAACGGG
rnacentral:rRNA from 1 species